UUGGCCUCUGGCCGUGUCUAUUCCACACACACUGUGAACUGUGUACGUCUUGGGGCUCUCGGGCCCCGGGUAGCAAAACCACCAAAACAAUGUGUAAUGAAUGUAAACUAUCGUAACAGAAACAAAACUUUCAACAACGGAUCUCUUGGCUCUCGCAUCGAUGAAGAACGCAGCGAAAUGCGAUAAGUAAUGUGAAUUGCAGAAUUCAGUGAAUCAUCGAAUCUUUGAACGCACCUUGCGCCUCUUGGUACUCCGAGAGGCAUGCCUGUUUGAGUGUCUUAUAAAAUCAAUCCCCAUGGGUUUCAUUACCUCGUUGGUGGACUUGGACUUGGGCGUCUGCCGUCUGGCUCGCCUCAAAGACGUUAGUGGGAGAAGCUGCCUACGGCUCGACGUGAUAAGUUUCGUCCGGCCUGGCUCCUCAAGCCCGCUCAUAACCCGCCCUCGGGCAACACUUUAUGUCAGACCUCAAAUCAGGUAGGACUACCCGCUGAACUUAA
rnacentral:rRNA from 1 species